GGGAUGGUGGCACAAUGAGUAGUGCUGUUGUCUCACAGCACCUGGGAUGUGCAAGAAGACGUGGGUUCGAUCCCUGCUCAGCCUG
rnacentral:tRNA from 1 species